ensembl:lncRNA
CCCCCUGACCUUAGAGAGACGGUUUAUAGUCUGUUAUAGUGAGCUGCACUAUAGUCUCCCCCCCCUGACCUCUCUCAUCAUAUAGCAGGCAGCAAUGUAGUGGUCUGCCAACCCACAUCUCUCUCAUCAUAUAGCAGGCAGCAAUGUAGUGGUCUGCCAACCCACAGCUCUCUCAUCUCCCUCAUCAUAUAGCAGGCAGCAAUGUAGUGGUCUGCCAACCCACAGCUCUCUCAUCUCUCUCAUCAUAUAGCAGGCAGCAAUGUAGUGGUCUGCCAACCCACAGCUCUCUCAUCAUAUAGCAGGCAGCAAUGUAGUGGUCUGCCAACCCACAUCUCUCUCAUCUCUCUCAUCAUAUAGCAGGCAGCAAUGUAGUGGUCUGCCAACCCACAUCUCCCUCAUCAUAUAGCAGGCAGCAAUGUAGUGGUCUGCCAACCCACAUCUCUCUCAUCAUAUAGCAGGCAGCAAUGUAGUGGUCUGCCAACCCACAGCUCUCUCAUCAUAUAGCAGGCAGCAAUGUAGUGGUCUGCCAACCCACAUCUCUCUCAUCAUAUAGCAGGCAGCAAUGUAGUGGUCUGCCAACCCAUCUCUCAUCUCUCUCAUCAUAUAGCAGGCAGCAAUGUAGUGGUCUGCCAACC